UACGAAGGGGGCUAGCGUUGCUCGGAAUUACUGAGCGUAAAGGGCGCGUAGGCGGACAGUUUAGUCAGAGGUGAAAGCCCAGGGCUCAACCUUGGAAUUGCCUUUGAUACUGGCUGUCUUGAGUUCGGGAGAGGUAAGUGGAACUGCGAGUGUAGAGGUGAAAUUCGUAGAUAUUCGCAAGAACACCAGUGGCGAAGGCGGCUUACUGGUCCGGUUCUGACGCUGAGGCGCGAAAGCGUGGGGAGCAAACAGG
rnacentral:rRNA from 1 species